AUUCCCAAUCACAAUAGCAAAAUCAUCAAAAGAGACUUCAUAAAUGUCAAUUAUUUACAUUAUAAAGUUCAAACCAAACCUAAUCACAUUGCCAACAUGCUCUUUUCUCCUCAUUUAAAUUCCACUUCAACUAAUGGAGACCAAUCUGCAACAUCUUCAAACAACUUUGCUCCAGCAGUUAUCCCAGAAAGAAACGGGCACCCAAUCUCCUUUCAUCAUCUAUAUGUUCAAAACCUGCCACCAAAUCCUUAACCUUUCCUCUCUUUCUACAGCCUUUUCCAAAUUUAUCCAGUAGCCAAGAUACAUGAGUAAAGAUUUAUCCAGUUGCCUAACUUUAUCCCUAAUGGAUUAAUUUAGUGAUGUAUUUGAAUCAAACAUUAAAUUCCACACAAAAAAUCCAAACUUCUCGAAUUUUCACAAAAACAAUAAAUCACAGUAGAGAAGACUCUAUAAAUCUUACCUUCAAAAGACAUUAAGAUUCAAACGACCGGCAACAGCGAAAUACCAACUAGGAAAGUAAAGAUUCAACCUCAAAAUCUUGUAAUUUCCGUUAAAUAAGAAUAAAUUUACUCAUACUUUCUGUUUCUUCUUGUUUAUUCACAUUUAGUUUUUUCAACAACUCAUUUUCACCUAAGAAGGCAACACAUAUUUGAGUUUGCUAAUGACUACACAAAUCGGAAGAUUACAAGCAAACCAUUCUGAACAUUCCCAUAAAUUACAUAUUGAACAAAAGCAUCUCUAAGAGCAAACUCGAACUACAACACAACAUAAUACACACACAACAUUUAACUCCAAUUAAAACUUUCAUUGUCCAGAAAACCUUGAAACUGAACAACGAUUGAAGCUGUCUUACAAUUGGGACCGCUUAAUUCAUACUAUACAAAUGAAAAACAUUAAACAUAAACAAAGCCCAAAAGCUAAGAUAAUUAAAUAAUUGAUUGCUAUAGGAUCUUACUUCUUUCACAAAAUUAAAUUGUUAUACGAAGAUGAGGGCGAGAUGCGCACAAGGAAAAGAAGACAAGACCCCUGGUUCCGUUCGAUUAUUCAACUAAGGAACAACAAUUAGUUUCUAAGACCUCCAUCAACGAAUAUGGUUACAGAUGCAGAAUUUGCAUUGCAUGUUAUAACAAACAAAUUCUAAAGAGGAGAAGCCUCUAGUGGAAAAAGACUGUUCGUCUUCUAGAAUUGGGGAUAUUGAAUUACGUUUUUGGGGAGGUUGGGACUUUUAGG
rnacentral:lncRNA from 1 species